GCCGGGGUGGUGAAAUUGGCAGACGCGCUGGAUUCAAAAUCCAGUGGGGGCAACCCCGUGCGGGUUCGAGUCCCGCCCCCGGCA
rnacentral:tRNA from 1 species